UGGAUGAAGGCAGAGCAGUGGAGUUCGACACUAGCAUGUAUCAUUUUGAUGAACAUGUACCUCCACGAGGGAGAGCAAGAGCUUUAGUGAAGCUCAUAGGAACAACAACAAGCUGCAGAAGUGGUGCAAAAAGUAGGACAAGCUACUCGCCAAGUGCCUCAAGACGAUCAAGUUUCUGACGGAUAAGCUGAGCGGUUUCUCUUCCACUACAGCUAUUCCA